UGUGUGAGCAUUUCCAACGUAUCGAAAUCCGAGGAAAGCGUGACAGAAAGGUACCCAUUCUCCUCACUCCAGAAAUGCUAACGUCGAUGUGGAGCUGCUUGUGAAAAAUCGACAAGCAUGUGGAGUAACGGAUGAAAAUCACUUCAUGUUCAAGGCCUGGAGCAGAGACCCAUUUCAGAGGAUCAGACUGUGUUCGAUUAUUUGCCAGUCAGUGUGGAGCAAAACAUCCCAAGACUCUACUGUCAUCUACCGGACUACGAAAACACGUGUCCACCUUAUCGAAGGUCCGUAACCUCAAAGAUACAGAGAUGGAUCAGUUAUCUGAUUUCCUCGGUCAUGAUAUUAGGGUUCAUCGGAAAUUUUACCGGCUACCAGAAGGAACGUUACAGCUGGCAAAAAUCAGCAAAGUGCUCAUGGCCUUGGAGCAGGGACGGAUUCAGGGGUUCAAGGGGCAGAAACCUUGAAGAUAUAAACAUCGAACCUAACGAAGAAGGUGAACUUUGAAAGGGAUCCGUCUGAAAGUGAGAAUGAGGAUGAGACAGAACAACUAAUCAUGACAGAGAAAGUACCUUCAGACAGUGACGAGUCUGAGGAUCAAAAGGGAAAUGCACAGCAAAAAAGAAAGUCACAUCGGUCAUCUUCAGUGUCCAAAGGUUCUUCAAAACCAUCACAGAAGAAAUGGUCCCCCACAGAGAUAAAGGCGGUGGAAAACAAGUUCAUGGACUGGAUAUCCUCUGGCAAAGUUCCGCGUAAAAAUGAAUGCAUGGAAUGCAUAAGAUCAGUGCCAGCAGCACUGAAAUCCAGAAAAUGGGAAGCAAUUAAGUUUUAUGUGAAGAAUUGCAUAACUGCAUAUCAA